CAGACCCCUGGUUUCACGCCCCCCUCAGCCUCCCGGCGUGCUCCCCGACCAGGGCAUGACCUGGAGGAAGUGACUGCGGCUUAACGGUAGAGGAUGUGCCCUCUGUACCCGAAGGGAGCCUCCCUGAUGCUCCUGUGAUCCUUGGCCAGGAUUCCAGGCGCCUGACCCACGGGUCCUAUUCGAGAGAUUGUGAGUGAUGGGUGAAGGCCCCAAAAAUUGUCUACAGCUUUCUUCAGGCUAUGUGUAUAACUCAGGGAAGGGGCCUCUGUAUUCAGAAGGGCAGCACCAUGAAUUUAAAAUCCUCAGCCCCCUAGAUUCCUGGACCCCAUGUCACUCCCCCACCUGCCUGCUGGACCCUGGGGCCACAGGCUGGUUUAAUUGCUGGCCUGGCUCAUGGCCCACUUCCUCCCCCAGGACAUCUACGAGAACCUGGACCUCCGGCAGAGAAGGGCCUCCAGCCCCGGAUACAUCGACUCCCCCACCUACAGCCGGCAGGGCAUGUCCCCCACCUUUUCCCGCUCGCCUCACCACUACUACCGCUCCGGCGAUUUGUCAACAGCAACCAAGAGCAAAACAAGUGAAGACAUCAGCCAGGCCUCCAAGUACAGUCCAGCCUACUCACCGGACCCCUACUAUGCUGCAGAGUCCGAGUACUGGACCUACCAUGGGUCCCCCAAAGUGCCCCGAGCCAGAAGGUUCUCAUCUGGAGGAGAGGAGGACGACUUCGACCGCAGCAUGCACAAGGUGAGUGGCGUCCACCCUGGACGAGAUGCCUAGACAGGUGUUACUGAGGAUUUGAUCAUUUGCUAGUGACAGAAACCAAAUUCAAACCCACUUACGGUAGAAAAAAGAAACAUGUAGCUUUGCAUAACCCAAAAGUUAAAGGGGAGGGGAAGUUUCAGGUAUGGCUAGAUCCGGCUGUUCAGCAAAUUGCCAUAGGAAAGUUGUCUCUCUCUUCUCCUGUGCUGGCUCACCGCUGCGUUGGCCUCAUGCCCGGGGAAGGUUCUUCUUCUGUGGUGACAAGUGGGUGCCCGCAGCU
rnacentral:lncRNA from 1 species